GCUGCCGGAUAGCUCACUCGGUUAAAGCACCACACUGUGAAGCAGGAGUGACUAUCACGGCGCAGGUUCGAGCCCUGGUCGUACCA